rnacentral:rRNA from 1 species
AGUCAAUAGAUACCCGGGUAGUCCAUGCCGUAAACGAUGAUUGCUAGGUGUGGGGGGUCUGACCCCUUCCGUGCCGGAGUUAAACACAAAUAAGCAAUCCACCUGGGGAGUACGGCCGCAAGGUUGAAACUCAAAGGAAUUGACGGGGGCCCGCACAAGCAGUGGAGUAUGUGGUUUAAUUCGAAGCAACGCGAAGAACCUUACCAGGUCUUGACAUCCACCGAAUCCUGUAGAGAUACGGGAGUGCCCUUCGGGGAACGGUGAGACAGGUGGUGCAUGGUUGUCGUCAGCUCGUGUCGUGAGAUGUUGGGUUAAGUCCCGCAACGAGCGCAACCCUUGUGAAUAGUUGCUACGAAAGAGCACUCUAUUCAGACCGCCGUUGACAAAACGGAGGAAGGUGGGGAUGACGUCAAAUCAUCAUGCCCCUUAUGACCUGGGCUACACACGUACUACAAUGGCCGUUAACAGAGGGAUGCAAUGCCGCGAGGUGGAGCGAACCCCGUAAAAACCGGUCUCAGUUCAGAUUGCAGGCUGAAA